rnacentral:tRNA from 1 species
ACCUGGGUGGCUCAGUCGGUUGAGCGUCUGACUUUGGCUCAGGUCAUGAUCUCACGGUCUGUGGGUUCGAGCCCCGCGUCGGGCU